rfam:Schistosoma rodhaini strain Burundi genome assembly, scaffold: SROB_scaffold0001097
AUUCAGCUGACGAGUCGCAAAUAGGACGAAUUGCGCGUGCUGGAU